CAGCAAAGGAGACAAUCCAAGGGCGUAAAAAAAAAAAUAAUAAUGAAAAAAAAGCCCGCUAAUUGCAUGUUGGAUAAGUGAUGUGUGUUGUAAUGGUGCUUUGAAAUGUCUGUGUAUGUUUGGUUUAGACAUGAAUAGAUAUAAUGAGGUAAAUACAGUAAAGUGCUCUGGGAAGGUUACGUGACUUUUAAGUAUUGUGUGUCUAAAGAGGUUAGGGGCAGGUUACGUGAGUUUAAAGUAUUGUGUGUCUAGAGAGGUCAGGGUCAGGUUACGUGAGUUUAAAGUAUUGUGUGUCUAGAGAGGUCAGGGUCAGGUUACGUGAGUUUAAAGUAUUGUGUGUCUAGAGAGGUCAGGGUCAGGUUACGUGAGUUUAAAGUAUUGUGUGUCUAGAGAGGUCAGGGUCAGGUUACGUGAGUUUAAAGUAUUGUGUGUCUAGAGAGGUCAGGGUCAGGUUACGUGAGUUUAAAGUAUUGUGUGUCUAGAGAGGUCAGGGUCAGGUUACGUGAGUUUAAAGUAUUGUGUGUCUAGAGAGGUCAGGGUCAGGUUACGUGAGUUUAAAGUAUUGUGUGUCUAGAGAGGUCAGGGUCAGGUUACGUGAGUUUAAAGUAUUGUGUGUCUAGAGAGGUCAGGGUCAGGUUACGUGAGUUUAAAGUAUUGUGUGUCUAGAGAGGUCAGGGUCAGGUUACGUGAGUUUAAAGUAUUGUGUGUCUAGAGAGGUCAGGGUCAGGUUACGUGAGUUUAAAGUACUGUAUGUCUAGAGAGGUUUAGGUGGUGUGGUAUAGUGAAUGGAGCGAAAGAAUGGGUUGAUGGAUAUCGUAUUCCCACCCUCGGAGUCACACCCACCUUUCCCUCCUCACCCUCCCAUCCCUCCCAUUCACACCCUAUCCACACUCUUUGGACCUCCUCUUCCUCCUCUCCUUCACAUUUAUACCCUCUCUCCCUCCUCUCCCUCCUCUCACCGGCAUCCACAGCCUAUCUUCCUCUUUCCCCUCCUCUCCCUUUCAUCUACAUCCUCUCUCCAUCCUCUCCCUCAUCCAUAUCCUCUCUGCCACCUUUCCUUUCUCCUCUCCCUCACAUCUAUACCCUCUCUCCCUCCUCUUCCUCCUCUCACUGGCAUCCACAUCCUAUCUUCCUCUUUUCCCUCCUCUCCCUCACAUCUACAUCCUCUUUCCAUCCUCUCCCUCAUCCAUAUCAUCUCUCCCACCUUUCCUUGCUCUCCCUCACAUACUCCCCCUCCCCCUUCCUCUCACCCUCUCAAACCCAGCCCACCACUUAUCGAAAUGGCAUCACCUCCUCGUAAACCUCACAUCCCCCUUACAGUAAUGGGGUUCGCUGGGCUCCAUUUUAUUUCUAUCUUUUUUUUCCUUUCCCCGUGACGGCUUAGCGAGGGAGCAUCCAUUUCCCAUUUUCUUCAGUCCAAUAAACGUAAUGGAAUGAUGACGCUCGUGCAUUAGCUACGUUACGUUUUCGCUUAUACCUGUUGAGUCAGCACCUGUACUCCC